rnacentral:tRNA from 1 species
GGGCUCGUGGUCUAGCGGUUAUGACGUCGCCCUUACAAGGCGGAGAUCGAGGGUUCGAAUCCCUCCGAGCCCA